CGCGGGGUAGAGCAGUCUGGUAGCUCGUUGGGCUCAUAACCCAAAGGUCGUAGGUUCAAAUCCUACCCCCGCUACCA
rnacentral:tRNA from 3 species